CACCCAGGGCGAUCUACGAGGACGCCCCAGCUACCGGGCGACGAAUGCGGACGCGCAGAGGGCGCUGAGAGGCCAUCCGCGCCGUCCCGCCUCUCCCCGGUCCGCGGGGCUCUCUGCUAACAACCUCACAAAACCAGGACCGGGACUGGGAAGGACAGUGAACAUUCCAGAGAAUUUCUGCAUGACCAGCUGUUCAUCCUUUUAACAGAAUGACAUUCUUCAGCUCAUUUGGAAAGGGCACUUCCUUUAAAUCUGUAAUUCUGAGUCUGUGAGGGCAGGUGUAUUUGAAAGAUAUUUCAUAUGGAAAAACACAAACUGGAUUGGAUAAAAAAUGAGGUGUAAUCUGAAAGCCCAAGUUAUUUUCUUAGGAAAAAGUCAACCGUGUUUGGUGUUAUCUAACCUACAGUGUAUCAGGAUGCAACAAAUGCGUUCUAUUUUCCUAAAUUAUUUGAAAACGAACAGCCAGCACAAUUUUCAAAAGUACCCAUUAUAACUAGUUGGGUAUUUCACGACAAUUUAGUAAUUUUGUAAACAGCUCAGAAGUAAAUCUACAAUGUGCCCUCACUGACCACAGUGCGUUGAUGACUGUAAAUCUUAGUAUAAAAACUUUGUAGAUCAGU